rnacentral:lncRNA from 10 species
GGGCCACCCCACAUGGACUCGGGAACCGCCGAGCUUCACCCACAAGGGCCCACGGCCCAUCCUAUCACGGAUGAAAAGAUUACAGGACUGACAAUGAGGCCCUGGAGGGAUCUGAUGCAGCUGGCGGGGAGAAAGGGAACACGGUGUUUGGUUUUAUAAAUUCCAUUUUGGUGGAAUAGGAAGGAAUUUCUGGCUUAUCUUGAUCAUCAUGAGGACGGAGAAACUCAAACUAUGUGUUUCCUGUGCUUUCACACUACAACAAUCAACACAGAAGACUGACGGCGGAGGGGGGUUCUCCAUACAGCAAGCAAGCAAUCAGUUCUGCAGUGGACACCAGCUGAGUGUACUCCAAUUCAAUUUUUACACUAUUUAUCAGGAGAUCCCACAGGUUGAGGACUGAGUCUACCAGACUGCCCCCACUUCAAAUGCCAGUUCCAAGUCUGGGCCUCCAGAACUUCUGACCAACCAUUUCCAAGCUGGGGUUCCCAUGGCUUCCUCCUUUGCAUUGUAUUAAUUUGCUAGAGCAGUUCAUGAAACUCAGAGAAACACUUGGGUUUACUGGUUUAUAACAAAAAAUACAGAUGAAAAGAUGCAUAAGGUAAAGUAUGGGGGAAGGAGCAUGGAGCUUCCAUGCACCUCCACUGGGUGCGCCGCCCUUCAGGAACCUCUACAUGUUCAGCUAUCCAGAAGCUCUCCAAGCCCUGUCCUUUUGGGUCUUUGUAUGGAGGCUCCAUUGCAUAGGAAUCACUGAUUAAACCAUUGGCCAUUGGUGAUCGGCUUAACCUUCAGCCCCUCUCCCCUCCCCGGAAGUUGGAGGUGGGCUGAAAGUCCCAACUCUCUAAUCCUCCCCUUGUUCUUUCUGGUCACCAGCCCCCAUCCUGAAGCUACCUAGGGGCUGCCAGACAUCAGUCAACUCAUUAAUAAACAAAACGACAUCACACUUUGGUGUUUCUAAGGAUUUUAGGAGUUGUAUGUCAGGAAAUGGGGUUGAAGACCAAAUAUAUAUUUCAUAAUAGCACAAUCUUUCAGCUUAUUUAUUUUCUCUUGGCUUUAUCUAUCCUGUUCUGGAUUUAUCCCUUGUUGAAUUUUUAUGUCAAUAAUCAAAUUUUAAAUUUCCAAGAUGUGGGAGCGCCCAGUUACUUGGCACAUUUUCCUGCCUCCUUGAACCAAAUGACCGCACUCACUGCUGGGGUCAAAGAUGUCAGUCACCAGCCAGACAUGGUGGUUCACACCUGUAAACCCAGAACUUUGGGAGGCCAAGGUCGGUGGAUCCCUUGAGCCCAGGAGUUUGAGACCAGCCUGGGCAAAAUGGUGAAACCCCAUCUCUAUAAAAAAUACAAAAAUUAGCUGGUUGUGGUGGUACAUGCCUGUGGUCCCAACUACUAGGGAGGCUGAGGUGGGAGGAGAGCUUGAGCCCAGGAGGUUGGGGCUGCAGUGAGUUGAGAUCGUGCCACUGCACUCCAGCAUGGGUAAUAGAGUGAGACCCGGUCUCUAGAAAAUAAAUAAAAAGACUUCAGUCACCAAGGUAAGGAGAUGGGUGGAUAUUCCUACUGUGGUACCUGAACUGUCAUCCUGUCAGUUGCCCCAAGACCAACUUUUGUCUCCUGGUUCCAAAACAUGUGGAUCAUUUUUUGGUCCACUCCUGUCUUCUGCAGAAGUCCUCCUUGGCACUCUUCACUGUUACCCCAUCUGCCAUCUUUGUCAAUUUUUUAUCAUUUCUAGGAAUUUGGGGUGGAAUAUGAGAAGAAAGCAACAUAUCUUCAGGACACAAUCUUGAAUCAGUAGCUAUUUUUCACCUGUGCAUUAGAGAUGGGAAACUUGCAGAGCACUUAACAGGACUUCCCUACGAUCACCAACUAGUAUUUAUUGAAUUGUUUAUUAGUAGGAAACAUUAAGCAAUUAUCCUUCAUAAAAACAUUAUGAAGUAAGUAAGCAUUACUAUAGUCCCAGUUUUAAGAUGAGAAAACACAGAUUAAAAACAUCCUAAAGAGCAGAGCCAAGUUACACUCCAGGUGGUCCGUCUCAGAAGCCUGAACUCUUUACUAAUACACUAUACGAUGGCAUAUCCGGGUGAUUUUGGGAACACAUUAUACUUCUACCCUGCCAGGAGGGCCAAAUGUAUUUACUUUGUCAUCUCUGUGCUGUAAGGGGCCACAUUUCUACCCAUCAACUCAAUCUACAUUACUCAAGCAUGCUUGUAAUUCAUAGGUUAUUUCCUCAUGCCAGGAAGAACAGUCACAGUUCUGUUUCAUUACGCUUCUAUCUUUGAGACUCAAAUUCCCCCCUCCCCACUAUAAAUUAUUUGCACAUACUAGUCUAGAAAAAUUUAAUAUGCCACUUUCCCCCACAAACACAUCUCCACAAUCAUAAACACCAUGAAAUAAACUUCUCUUAGACAAAUGAAAAAGUUUCUUACCUUUUUCUCCAGGCUAAGGAUCAAAAUUCAAGUUUUACUUGGUUAACUCUCCUGCUAAUCUGAAAACUGUCUUCUACUCUAUAGAUGCUUGCUGUUUCAGGGGGGCAGGCGGGAGUUAUUUAAGAAUAAUUUCCAUUACCUAAUACCUUGAUACUAAUGUGAAAAAAAUUAUGAAAAUCAGAGGUCAAACACUUAAAAAGAUCCAUGAAAAAUCUCCUACAAAGACACUUAAAUAAGUAAAAUCAUCAAAUUUUCAUAAUGUGACAGGGAGAAGAUUGAAGAAACCAAAAAAAGCAAGUAUGUUCCUUUGCUGGAACUAAUCCUAUGGCUAAUAUAUAUACAAGUUAAUCAGCAUACCUUUCUCCUGCUCAUUAUUCUACAUAUAAUAUGGGUCUUAAGUAAGUAAACAUUCCAAACUAGAUGAAAUACAGUUCCAGAGAGAAAUUAUAAGUAGUUUAAGACUUAACCCUUUGUAUUAGAGUUCUCCAGAGGGACAAAACUAAUAGGGGAGACAUAUAUCUAUAGAUAUAGAUAGAUGAUAAUAGAUUAGAUACAGAUAUAUUAAAAGGAGUUUAUGAAGGAGAAUUGGCUCACAUGAUUACAAGGCAAAGUCCUACAGUGGGCCGUCUGCAAGCUGAGGAAGAAAGAAGCCAGUAGUGGUUCAGUCUGAGUCCAAAAGCCUCAAGAGUAGGGAAGCCCACAGUGCAGCCUUCAGUCUGUGGCCUAAGGCCCAAAAGCCCCAGGCAAGCCACUGGUGUUAAGUCCAAGAGUCCAAAGGCCAAAGAACCUGGAGUCUGAUGUCCAAAGGCAGGAGGAAUGGAUGGAGGCAUCCAGCACAGGAGAGGGAUGAAAGCCAGAACUCUGCAAGCCAGCUUAGCCCACCUUCUCUCUCCUGCUUUGUUGUAGCUACCCUGGCAGCCGACUGGAUGGUGCCAACCCACAUUGAGGGACAUCUGUGACACAAAGACUGUGACACACCCACAGGUCGAUUAACAUGAGGACCCAACACCUAUUAAAACAUCCACACUCCUGAGAACACUAAAAACCAACCACCUCGUCAGGUCCCACCUCCAGUCUAGCUGAAUCAGGAAACCUCAGGAGAAGCACCUGGAAGCAGGUUUAACAAGCGCAAAGGUGACUCUUAUAAUUGGGAAAGUUUGGAACCAAGACAGGGUUCUUGUCCUGGAGGAAGUAUUUUCCUGUGGAGAAGGACCUGUAAACAGCCUAUGAAGUGCUCAGCUUUCACCAAGAAAAGAAAAACAUGGGCUGAUAGGGUUAAGGAAACGUUUGACUGAAGAGGAUUAAAUCCUGAAGGUUAGGGAUGUCUUUGGGCGCUGGGGUCUCUCAAUCACCAAAGAUCGACAUUACAGGCCAGGUAGCUCUUUGUCCCCCCAGAGGACUGUCCUGUGCCUUAUGCUUAGCACUCCUGGCCUCUGCCCAUUGGAUACUUCUAGCACCUCCCCCGCAACACACACACACCUGACAACCCAAAACAUCUACAGAUAUUGCCAAAUACUCCACAGGGGGUGGGGUGGUGGCAAUAUAUCUCCCUGUUUGAAGUCACUGGAAUGGAAGUUAGGGGAGGAUGGCUAAGUCAGGACUUGCAAAAAGGCUAAGGGACGAAAGCACAUGGCUAUAUUAGACAAAGUUUGUGACAGACGCCUGUAGGUAUAUGGUAAGGAAAACAGAUUAAAACACUAAGAAAUAGUAAGAGGUCGGACCGAGGGUUUCUCAUCUGUAUGGGAAAUCUCAUCUCGUUCAUUACUUUCAGAAACAAAAAGGAAAACGACUUUAAAGAUACAGGUUAAAGGCCGAAGGGGUGUAGAACCACCCCCCGCCUCCUUCCCUCCAUCCCUCCCAAAUAUCCCAGAACGAGUCAAACCUUUCGAAUCUCGUAGCACAGAUAACAAGCAACUCAGUAAGACUGGACGGGGAUGACUGAGGGCCAACUCAUUACAGGACUACAGGAAACUCCUUAGUCCUAAACCCGAAUGC